CUUUCGAUCACUGAAAUUAAGCAACGUUGAGCCUGAGCAGUACUCAGAUGGAUGACCCCUGGGGAAUACUAGGCGCUGUAAU